AUUGAACGCUGGCGGAAUGCUUUACACAUGCAAGUCAAACGAUGAACCUUAGCUUGCUAAGGGGAUUAGUGGCGAACGGGUGAGUAAUGUAUCGGAACGUAUCCAAUAAUGGGGGAUAACUAGUCGAAAGAUUAGCUAAUACCGCAUACGUCCUACGGGAGAAAGCUAGGGACCUUCGGGCCUGGCGUUAAUGGAGCGGCCGAUAUCUGAUUAGCUAGUUGGUGGGGUAAAGGCUCACCAAGGCGACGAUCAGUAGCUGGUCUGAGAGGACGACCAGCCACACUGGAACUGAGACACGGUCCAGACUCCUACGGGAGGCAGCAGUGGGGAAUUUUGGACAAUGGGCGAAAGCCUGAUCCAGCCAUUCCGCGUGAGUGAAGAAGGCCUUCGGGUUGUAAAGCUCUUUCGCAAGGGAAGAAAACUUAAGCCCUAACAUAGCUUGAGGUUGACGGUACCUUGAUAAGAAGCACCGGCUAACUACGUGCCAGCCGCCGCCGUAA
rnacentral:rRNA from 1 species